rnacentral:rRNA from 1 species
AUUGAACGCUGGCGGCAGGCCUAACACAUGCAAGUCGAGCGGAUGAGGGAAGCUUGCUUCCCGAUUUAGCGGCGGACGGGUGAGUAAUGCCUAGGAAUCUGCCUAUUAGUGGGGGAUAACGUUCCGAAAGGAACGCUAAUACCGCAUACGUCCUACGGGAGAAAGUGGGGGAUCUUCGGACCUCACGCUAAUAGAUGAGCCUAGGUCGGAUUAGCUAGUUGGUGAGGUAACGGCUCACCAAGGCGACGAUCCGUAGCUGGUCUGAGAGGAUGAUCAGCCAAACUGGAACUGAGACACGGUCCAGACUCCUACGGGAGGCAGCAGUGGGGAAUAUUGGACAAUGGGCGAAAGCCUGAUCUAGCCAUGCCGCGUGUGUGAAGAAGGUCUUCGGAUUGUAAAGCACUUUAAGUUGGGAGGAAGAGUUGUAAGCUAAUAUCUUGCAGCUUUGACGUUACCAACAGAAUAAGCACCGGCUAACUCUGUGCCAGCAGCCGCGGUAACAC